AACGAACGCUGGCGGCAUGCCUAACACAUGCAAGUCGAACGAGACCUUCGGGUCUAGUGGCGCACGGGUGCGUAACGCGUGGGAACCUGCCCUUAGGUUCGGAAUAACUCCCCGAAAGGGGUGUUAAUACCGGAUAAUGUCUUCGGACCAAAGAUUUAUCGCCUUUGGUUGGGCCGGCCUGUUAUAGGCUAGUUGGUAGGGUAAAAGCCUACCAAGGCGACGAUCCAUAGCUGGUCUGAGAGGAUGAUCAGCAACACUGGGACUGAGACACGGCACAGACUCCUACGGGAGGCAGCAGAGUGGAAUAUUGGACAAUGGGAGAAAGCCUGAUCCAGCAAUGCCGCGUGAGUGAUGAAGGCCUUAGAGUUGUAAAGCUCUUUUACCCGGGAUGAUAAUGACAGUACCGAGAGAAUAAGCGCCGGCUAACUCCGUG
rnacentral:rRNA from 1 species